rnacentral:rRNA from 1 species
AGUCGAACGAUGAAGUUCCUUCGGGAAUGGAUUAGUGGCGAACGGGUGAGGAACACGUGAGAAACCUGCCUUUCAUUCUGGGAUAACACCGGGAAACCGGUGCUAAUACCGGAUACUCCGUCUUGGCGGCAUCGCCGAGCCGGGAAAAAAUUUUGAUGAAAGAUGGUCUCGCGGCCUAUCAGCUAGUUGGUGAGGUAAAAGCUCACCAAGGCGACGACGGGUAGCCGGCCUGAGAGGGCGACCGGCCACACUGGGACUGAGACACGGCCCAGACUCCUACGGGAGGCAGCAGUAGGGAAUAUUGGGCAAUGGGCGCAAGCCUGACCCAGCGACGCCGCGUGAGGGAUGAAGGUCUUCGGAUUGUAAACCUCUUUCAGUAGGGAAGAAGCGAAAGUGACGGUACCUAAAGAAGAAGCACCGGCUAACUAUGUGCCAGCAGCCGCGGUAAUACAUAGGGUGCAAGCGUUGUCCGGAAUUAUUGGGCGUAAAGAGCUCGUAGGUCGUUUGUCGCGUCGAUUGUGAAAAUCUGAGGCUCAACCUCAGACCUGCAGUCGAUACGGGCAAACUAGAGUGUGGUAGGGGAGACUGGAAUUCCUGGUGUAGCGGUGGAAUGCGCAGAUAUCAGGAGGAACACCAAUGGCGAAGGCAGGUCUCUGGGCCAUAACUGACACUGAGGAGCGAAAGUGCGGGGAGCGAACAGGAUUAGAUACCCUGGUAGUCCGCACCGUAAACGGUGGGCACUAGUUGUGGGAACCUUCCACGGUUUCCGCGACGCAGCUAACGCAUUAAGUGCCCCGCCUGGGGAGUACGAUCGCAAGAUUAAAACUCAAAGGAAUUGACGGGGCCCCGCACAAGCAGCGGAGCAUGCGGCUUAAUUCGACGCAACGCGAAGAACCUUACCANGGCUUGACAUAUAGCGAAAAGUGGCAGANAUGUCAUGUCCGCA